GCGAAGAGAGGUGGCUAUCCAUCUGAAAGGAGCUCGGAUGCUGCUGGCGGGCUGUCUACCGUUGGGUGCCUUGAGCGUUAGUACUAUAGGCGAGGGCCAUUUGCUGUAGGAGCCCAAUCAGAGGCUUUCUGUAGAUGAAGUCUGGCUCCCGUAGGAGUCCGGAUGAAGUCUUCCUGCAGUCGGAGUCGGAGAUGAAGUCCGGCUCCCGUAGGAGUCCGGACAAAGUCUACCUGCAAUUGAAGUCAGGGACGAAGCCCGGCUCCCGUAGG
rnacentral:lncRNA from 1 species